rnacentral:lncRNA from 1 species
AUACAUGCAUCUUAUAAACCCAAAAAAUGAUGGAUACUAACCUUCAUUUGAUCGGGAAAGGCCUCCAGGGGCUCUGAAUGCAGAACAACUGUCAAAUUUGAACGGAGGAAGAACAACGAUGUCAAUUCUCACAAGUUUCCAUCUUUUUCGAAGAGGGGAAGAAGAAACUAUUGAAAAAGAGGAGGAUAUAGAAAAAAGAAAAAUUAGAGCAGAGGCGGGAAAAAGGCUCCCAAG